rnacentral:rRNA from 1 species
GAUGAACGCUGGCGGCGUGCUUAACACAUGCAAGUCGAACGAGAAGUGGAGACGGAAACCUUCGGGCGGAAGACUUUAUUUCGAGUGGCGGACGGGUUAGUAACGCGUGGGUAACCUGCCUCAUACAGGGGGAUAACAGUUGGAAACGACUGUUAAUACCGCAUAAGACCACAGCACCGCAUGGUGCGGGGGUAAAAACUCCGGUGGUAUGAGAUGGACCCGCGUUCGAUUAGCCAGUUGGCGGGGUAACGGCCCACCAAAGCGACGAUCGAUAGCCGAUCUGAGAGGAUGACCGGCCACAUUGGGACUGAGACACGGACCAAACUCCUACGGGAGGCAGCAGUGGGGAAUAUUGCACAAUGGGGGAAACCCUGAUGCAGCGACGACGCGUGAGUGAAGAAGUAUUUCGGUAUGUAAAGCUCUAUAAGCAGGGAAGAAAAUGACGGUACCUGAGUAAGAAGCCCCGGCUAACUACGUG